CAGGUGGGCACUCCUGAGACUGCAGAGCUGAAGAAACCACCAACACUGCCCACCCCUGCCCACAUCCCUGGUCCAAGAGGAAACUGUAUACGGCCUCUGGGUUGGCUUGGAUAAGGGCACAGCAGCAGCAGGUCACCUGCCUCUGAGACACCACUGGAACCUGAAGGGACUGACCAGAUAAACAGUUCUCUGCACCCAAAUCCUGUGGGAGGGAGAGCUAAACCUUCAGAGAGGCAGACAUGCCUGGGAAACCAGAAGAGACUGCACUCUGCCCACAUUACUGAUUCCAGAGGAAAACACCAAACGCCAUCUGGAACCCUGGUGCACAGAAGCUCCCAGAAAGGGCGGCGCAGAUCUUCCUGGUUGCUGCCCCCGCAGAGAGCUCGUAGGCAGCACCCCACGAGCAAACUUGAGCCUCGGGACCACAUAUAAUACAAACCUUUCUGCUCCAAGUGACCUGCCAAGUGAACUCAAGACAUAGGCCCACAGGAACAGCUGAAGACCUGUAGAGAGGAAAAACUACACGCCCGAAAGCAGAACACUCUGUCCCCAUAACUGGCUGAAAGAAAACAGGAAAA
rnacentral:lncRNA from 1 species